rnacentral:rRNA from 1 species
UUGAUAGGCUGGGUGUGGAAGUGCGGCAACGCAUGAAGCUUACCAGUACUAAUCGUUCGAUUGGCUUGAUCGUUCCCAUU